AGAGUUUGAUCCUGGCUCAGGAUGAACGCUGGCGGCGUGCCUAACACAUGCAAGUCGAGCGAGAAGGGAUGAAGUGCUUGCACGGAUUUCCGGACAGCGGCGGACGGGUGAGUAGCGCGUAGGUAACCUACCUUAUGCACAGGGAUAGCUCCGGGAAACUGGGAUUAAUACCUGAUAAAGCGGUGAGAUCACAUGGUCUUAUCGCCAAAGAUUUAUCGGCGUAAGAUGGACCUGCGUCUGAUUAGCUGGUUGGUGAGGUAACGGCCCACCAAGGCGACGAUCAGUAGCCGACCUGAGAGGGUAAUCGGCCACAUUGGAACUGAGACACGGUCCAAACUCCUACGGGAGGCAGCAGUGGGGAAUAUUGCACAAUGGGCGCAAGCCUGAUGCAGCAACGCCGCGUGAGUGAAGAAGGUCUUCGGAUCGUAAAGCUCUGUCCUCAGGGACGAAGAAGUGACGGUACCUGAGGAGGAAGCCCCGGCUAACUACGUGCCAGCAGCCGCGGUAAUACGUAGGGGGCGAGCGUUAUCCGGAAUUAUUGGGCGUAAAGCGUACGUAGGUGGUUUUGUAAGCGUUAGGUGAAAGCCUGCGGCUUAACCGCAGCGAGCCUGAUGAACUGCAAGACUUGAGUGCAGGAGGGGUAAGUGGAACUCCAUGUGUAGCGGUGAAAUGCGUAGAUAUAUGGAAGAACACCGGUGGCGAAGGCGACUUACUGGACUGUAACUGACACUGAGGUACGAAAGCGUGGGGAGCAAACAGGAUUAGAUACCCUGGUAGUCCACGCUGUAAACGAUGAGCACUAGGUGUCUGGGUAGAAAUACUUAGGUGCCGCAGUUAACGCAAUAAGUUAUCCACCUGGGGAGUACGUUCGCAAGAAUGAAACUCAAAGGAAUUGACGGGGGCCCGCACAAGCGGAGGAACAUGUGGUUUAAUUCGAUGAUACGCGAGGAACCUUACCCGGGCUUGAAAUGUGCACGGCGACCCUGAGAGACCAGGGUCUCCUUCGGGCGUGCAUGUAGGUGCUGCAUGGUUGUCGUCAGCUCGUGCCGUGAGGUGUCGGCUCAAGUGCCAUAACGAGCGCAACCCCUUCGGCCGGUUACCAUCGGGUGAUGCCGGGGACUCCGGCCGCACUGCCGCCGCAAGGCGCGAGGAAGGCGGGGAUGACGUCAAAUCAGCACGGCCCUUACGUCCGGGGCCACACACGUGUUACAAUGGGGGGCACAGCGAGCGGGGCCAUGGCGACAUGUCCCGAAUCAUGAAAUCCCCUCCCAGUUCGGACUGGAGUCUGCAACCCGACUCCACGAAGCCGGAUUCGCUAGUAUCGCGCAUCAGCCAUGGCGCGGUGAAUACGUUCCCGGGCCUUGCACACACCGCCCGUCA
rnacentral:rRNA from 1 species